CGGAGGGUGCAAGCAUUAAUCGGAUUUAUUGGGCGUAAAGGGCGCGUAGGCUGGUUUGUAAGUCAGAUGUGAAAUCCCGGGGCUCAACCUCGGAACAGCAUUUGAAACUACAUACCUAGAGGGUAGAAGGAGAAAACGGAAUUCCACAAGUAGCGGUGAAAUGCGUAGAUAUGUGGAAGAACACCGGUGGCGAAGGCGGUUUUCUAUUUUACACCUGACGCUGAGGCGCGAAAGCAAGGGGAUCAAACAGGAUU
rnacentral:rRNA from 1 species